rnacentral:snRNA from 1 species
AUACCUUUCUCGGCCUUUUGGCUAAGAUCAAGUGUAGUAUCUGUUCUUAUCAGUUUAAUAUCUGAUACGUGGGCCAUUGGCUCACAUGGUAUUUAAUAUAUUUUUAAAGGGGGAGAGUCCAUCACAGUAGCUUGCUAUUGGGGCUUUCGAGCGUCGCCCAGGCGUUGCACUAUAGUUCUGGCACGGCGCACUCCAC